rnacentral:rRNA from 1 species
CCUACGGGUGGCAGCAGUGAGGAAUAUUGGUCAAUGGGCGCGAGCCUGAACCAGCCAAGUAGCGUGAAGGAUGACUGCCCUACGGGUUGUAAACUUCUUUUAUAAAGGAAUAAAGUGAGGCACGUGUGCCUUUUUGUAUGUACUUUAUGAAUAAGGAUCGGCUAACUCCGUGCCAGCAGCCGCGGUAAUACGGAGGAUCCGAGCGUUAUCCGGAUUUAUUGGGUUUAAAGGGAGCGUAGAUGGGUUGUUAAGUCAGUUGUGAAAGUUUGCGGCUCAACCCCUUCCCGCCAUUGAAACUGGCGCUCUUGAGUGGAAGAGAAGUAUGCGGAAUGCGUGGUGUAGCGGUGAAAUGCAUAGAUAUCACGCAGAACCCCGAUUGCGAAGGCAGCAUGCCGGCUUCCGACUGACGCUGAAGCACGAAAGCGUGGGGAUCGAACAGGAUUAGAUACCCGGGUAGUC